CAUCGCCUCUUGCUCUCCCAUAAGAGGUCCAGCCUGCCCAGUGACUUAGUUCAACGGCCGCGGUACCCUAACCGUGCGAAGGUAGCGUAAUCACUUGUCUUCCAAAUAGAGACUAGUAUGAAAGGCAUCACGAGAAUUUAACUGUCUCCUUUUUCUAAUCAGUGAAACUAAUCUUCCCGUGAAGAAGCGGGAAUCCAAAAAUAAGACGAGAAGACCCUAUGGAGCUUUAAACACUAACCACCUGCCCAAUCCUAUAAGACCCCGGUUCCAAAACCAACGCAUCAUGACUACGUGUUUUUGAUUGGGGCGACCACGGAAAAUAAUCAAACCUCCGUAAUGAAAACCUACAAGCCACAGCUUUAAGUAUCAACAAAUUGACAUCCAUUGACCCA
rnacentral:rRNA from 1 species